AGGGUAGAGGUGCGUUGUUUAUCAGUAUUUUACGUUAGGGUGAUACCAAUAAUCGUAAAAGAAAGGAACCAACGCCGAAGUAAGAGAAGGCAUAUCAUGCACUUUUACUGGGGUUACAUUCGAAUAGAAGUAACACUGCCAUAGUCUUUUUAACUAUGGAGCGCUACUGUG
rnacentral:ncRNA from 1 species